GAUAUAGUCUACAGUUGUAAAUGAGUUUCUGAGGCUGUCAUUUUGACUGUGGUAGAGAUUUGUACGAGUUUAUUCACCUUAUACUUGUUCACUCCAGUCUUACUAAACUGAUUUCACAUUAUUUUAAAAUUAGAGGAGAAUAACAGUUAUUAACUACCAUUGCAUUUUCAUUUAGUCACAAGCACUUACUGUUUGAAUUAGAAAUUGCUCCAAUAAAGACAGUGACUGCAGGUUUAUCUCUGUUUUUAUUUUUGUUUGUUUUCUUUAAGGUGCUGAUCAGAAACCCACAAAUAUCUGCCAGGCUGGCAACAGACCCUAAAGAGAGAAGAAAGAAAGAGGAAGAAGGAAGAAAGUCAAAAGGAUGAAACAACAAAAGGAGCUCCCCACAGAAAGACAGACUCUUUCGCCAGCACAUUUAAGAAUCUAAAUGAGGCCAAGUGCCAAGCAGAUAAAGGGACUCUACUUGCUGCACAGUAAAUAAAACGGAGGCAGGAGGACACCUGCAUCAAACAAUACUUUCUGAGGGGAUGACAACAAGAUUUCAGAGAAUUCAGAUCCUGACUUUCCUGCCUCACCAGGUACAACCCAAGUCACCAGAGCUCAUAAAAGAUGUGUGUGCUGUCGCAUCUAUGUGAAGUAUUUCCAUGACCCGAGCAUUGACCACAGGACUGUGCUGGAGGAAACUGGAUCAAGGUACCAAGAUGGGUGCCGUUGACAACACAGAGAGAAGAGAGAACCUAAACAAUGAAACAAGUCCCCUGCCCACGUGCUGUCAGACACUGGAGAAAAGAACAAAACCAAAGAAAAGCCACUGAGCAAACACAAUGGCCUUGUCUUCUACCUUUCUUGUGGCACAAUGCAGGACUGGACAGCACUGUCCUCCCCAUCCCAUCUCCUUCCCUCCCUCUACUCUCACCCCCCUCCACCAGCCUUCCUGCUCCCAAAGCACGUUACUGACUAGCAGCUUGCCAGUCCAGAUUGUAGUUUUAAUCCACCAACUAGUAUUGCAGCUCAUAGAAUGGCUUUGGAUUUAUGAAACAGGCUGAGGGGAAAUAAAGUACCCUAGUUUGUAGAUAAUAAAAGCUAAGAGUGGUGCAUCCAGGGAGAGAGGUGGGGUGCCAGGGGUUCUUAGGAAGGUAGUGGUACCACCUACUGCCAGAGUCUCUUUUGAAUUGGCUUUAUCCAGGAGUCCCAAAAGCCCUUUAAACUACUUCAUGGUAGCCUUUGACAGAGAACUCUUUGGCAGUGACUUGGAGAGGGUUUAUGAAGACAGUGCUCAGGCUUUGGUCAUGACACAGGCAGAUUGGGGAUGGAGUGGUACAUGUUUGAUUACAGUGUGUGUUGAGGGGCAAGGGGGCAGGUCUUGGUACAAUGACAACUAGCACGAGACCUUGAACUCAACAUGGAUUUUAAAAGUGUUUGUUUAAUGCAUGAAUAAAACAAUGCUCAUGAUAUUUUGUGGUCUUUAGUGACCAAUCAUAGUAGACGUCUUAGAAUUACCAAGCCCUAAGGAAUACUAAAACCCAGUCUAAUAAACUCAGUAAAACCAAGAGUGGACUCUAAUGUAAACUGUGGACUUUUGGAUGUACCUCUCUGGUGGGGAAUGUUGAUAAUGGAGGAGGCUAGGCUUGUGUGGGGGUGGCGAACACAUGGAAAAUCUCUGUAUCUUUUGCUUAUUUUUCUGUGAACCUAAAACUGAUCUAAAAAAAAGUAUAUAAAAAAUUCAUAGCCACAUAAAUUGGCAGUCAGAUCUGGUGAUUCAGCUGAACCUUUAUCUAAGCAUAUAGAAAAGAACACAUAUUUUCUGAUGUUUGAAAAAAUUGCUGUUUUACCUUGAAACUAAUAAAACAAAAUUGGCACAACUUAUUUUUUAAAUGCAGUAAAAAUACUUAGUCUGUCCUACAGCCUAUAUUCAUCUACUGUGGACAUCAUUUCCUCGCCAUGAAAUUUCCGUGGAAUCUAUAGGAGGCAAACCUGGGAUUAAAGCCUGAAUUUGCCAUUUAAUAAUGAGAAAACCUUGGAAAAGUCUGUCUAUCUGGAUGACUGUCAGUCCAGCAGAGACAUAGAAAUGUGCCAUAAAUAACCGAAUGCAUCACAAAAACAGAACAGGAGCUACGAGUGUUACUGAAGGCUUGAUUUGAGUUCUCACCUGAGAAACGGACACCCCCUAGCCCACUCCCACAGUUCACACUGGUUCUUCUACCUACAAGCCGAGUCUUCACUUUCUUAAAAGGGGACGUGGACAUGAAUUGACUAGGCCACACAUUUAUCAAUUUGAAGCCAUUACUUUGCUUCACAGAUGUAGAAGCCCCAUUUCUCGACAAAGAAGAGGAAAGAAAGAGGAAAAAUGAAGGAAUAAAUGAUAGAAGUAAAGAAAAAUGUAAAUAAACUUUCUCGUCUACACAGAAUAAAAGGAUCCAGUCUAGCCAACUAGACAAAAGUUAGUUUCUCAAUACUAACAUGCCUGGUGCCUCUCUUCUGUUUCCAGCCCUGGAAUAAUAAGUUUCACUUUUUCAUUUCUUCACCCAAAAUAAAACUUGAACUGCUCACUUCCUCAUCUUUUCAUUUGCAGAUCUCAAAAGCAGCCUCUUCCACAUCUACCCUUGGGGCAUGUCUGGCCCACUCCCCUACAG
rnacentral:lncRNA from 1 species